rnacentral:rRNA from 1 species
CAACGGAUAUCUUGCGUCUCGCAUCGAUGAAGAACGUAGCGAAAUGCGAUACUUGGUGUGAAUUGCAGAAUCCCGUGAACCAUCGAGUUUUUGAACGCAAGUUGCGCCCGAAGCCAUCAGGCCGAGGGCACGUCUGCCUGGGCGUCACAC